CCUACGUGAGGCAGCAGUGGGGAAUAUUGGGCAAUGGGCGCAAGCCUGACCCAGCAACGCCGCGUGAAGGAAGAAGGCUUUCGGGUUGUAAACUUCUUUUCUCAGGGACGAAGCAAGUGACGGUACCUGAGGAAUAAGCCACGGCUAACUAAGUGCCAGCAGCCGCGGUAAUACGUAGGGGGCAAUCGUUAUCCGGGUUUACUGGGUGUAAAGGGCGUGUAGGCGGGACUGCAAGUCAGAUGUGAAAACCACGGGGUCAACCUGUGGCCUGCAUUUGAAACUGUAGUUCUUGAGUACUGGAGAGGCAGACGGAAUGCCUGGUGUAGCGGUGAAAUGCGUAGAUAUUAGGAAGAACACCAGUGGCGAAGGCAGUCUGCUGGA
rnacentral:rRNA from 1 species